rnacentral:lncRNA from 1 species
AAUAAGAUGUCAACAAAAGCUGUUAGAGCUACUAUGGUAAGACAUCCAACACAAAAUCCCCAACAGUGCGGCUCGAGAUGGCCAUCUUCAAGAGGUCCUGAGUUCAAUUCCCAGCAACCACAUGGUGGCUCACAACCAUCUGUAAUGGGAACCCCUGGCAUCUGGUGUGUGUGAAGGCAGCUACAUUGUACUCAUAUAUAUAAAAUAAAUAAUUUUUAAAAAAUCCCCAACAGUAGUCACCCUUACAAGUAAAAUUUUCUAUAAGAAUACAGCAACAUCCAAAAUUUCCAAGGAUCAUAAUUACCAGUCAAACCAUCUGGCUUAGUUAGGCAACAGAGGUUACCUAUCUAAUCUCAACUAACAUAACCUACAAGGAAUAUAAUAAAAACUUUCCGAUACUGUGCACAAAAGAAGUUAACCUCUAUCAAACCAUUAACACGAAAACAUGCACCUAAGCUUCUAGAAGCUCGCACCUGGAAAGCUUCUGAGGUUCAUAAAAUAUUCAACUGGCACCUGAUGUCUUAAAAUUAAUCAAAAGAAUAUGAAUAGGUCUGGCACUAGGGUCUAAACAAUAUUAGAAAAUGUGAAGUUUACACUGUGAACUUCUGCAAUAAUGUGAAACCAAAAGAUGUACAACAGUGACACACAGUCUUCGUACCCGUAAUGAAUUCAUGUGUCUAUGAGUUUUCUGUCAACAAACACACUAACAAGAACUUUAUGUAUAGUUCUUAUAUACUAAGACAUGCAGCGAAAAAAACAUCUACAGCUUAAAGAAUUCAAUCAUGUAUCAAAACGUAUUGGUAACUGAGUUUUAUUAUGUGGACAUCUACUGUGGCAUGCAUCUGUACAAACCUUUCAGGCAGUGUCCACAGCUGGGUUUAUGAAUAAAAAGGCAUAAAUUUUUGUCUCAUUUUAUUACAAUGAAGUUUAAACAGUACAGAAAAGUCACAUGACCAUAAUAAUGGGCCAGUUUCUUAAACCCUUCAACAGGAGGAACUCUCUAAUUACAUUAAAUAUUGUUACACAUUCAAACUUCCAAUGUACAAGUACUUGGAAAUAGUUACAACCCUCACCAAGCUAGGUUGGGGACGUGAAGUCCAACAGCAUUGGAAAUGCUGCGAAGGCAUAACUUUACAAAUAGCAAUGUAAUCUUACAGAACUUGCCUUUAUUUAAGUGGUAGAGUGAUUUCAUGUAAUUCCAGCGCCUUCACAAUUUAACGAACCAAAUUUACUAUACUUCACUUCUAAAAAACCUAGAUGAAUACAUGAAAAAGAAAGCCAUACAGUAUAAAUUGCAACUUCAGGAAAAGUUCCUGUUUUAUUAUUCCAAAUAAUUUCUCUCCAUGGUCAAAUAAAUGUCCAAUAGUUCCUGGUAUGUGGGGAAAUUAUGUUUGUUAAAGUCACAAUGAAGCCUUAUAUACGGAAGCUGUCUACAUAAACAGCACAAGUUGAGAAAAGGUUUAAUCUCCAAACCUAUUAGACUUGAAGUAAGAUCAGUAACGGCCACCUUGCGACAUUACAGGAGGUCUCAUUCCCAUUGGAGGUCGAGGAGGCCCACCUUGGUAAGGGGGCACCAUUGGUGGCAUUGGAGGCCUCAUUCCUUGCUGCUGUGGUAUGCCUGGCUGUGGUGGCAUCAUGCCCCCUAUUGGUCCAACUGGUGGAUUACCAAUUCGGAGUUUGUCCUGGUCGAGGAAGAUUUCCGCUGAUAUUUAGGUAACUGUGCCCUUCUUUCUUCCUGAGGAUAAAAGUAAUGUACAAUGUCUACUAUAAAGUUGUAGAAAGACAAACAUCGAAAAUCCUAGUAAUUUUAAGUACACAAUUACUCCUCAAUAAUUACUUUUGCUCACACAAAUCAGUACUACUACUUAAAAUCUUCAUGCCUUAUGACUUUAGCUAUUUUUACAUUAGAACAUGGCUAAGUUCACAAAAUUUAUAAAUCUAAGUAUUAACUUUCUAUCAAAUGAAAUUCAUUUGUAACGACUUGAAUUUGUAUACUCUAACACUCUACUAUUGUCACUACAAGCAAAUUUAUGUCAACACGUUGUUUUUAAAAGAAUAACCAACCUUACUGUCUUUUUCUUUUAGAAAUAAGAGGUUAGAAAUAUGAGGCCAAAAUAUGAAUAGUAUUUAUGGCACAGUAUUUAUG